UCUAUGUAGGGAAGAUAGUAGGAGGGACGUGGUAAGUAAGGUAGUAAUCUCUAUGUAGGGAAGAUGGUAGGAGGGACGUGGUAAGUAAGGUAGUAAUCUCUAUGUAGGGAAGAUAGUAGGAGGGACGUGGUAAGUAAGGUAGUAAUCUCUAUGUAGGGAAGAUAGUAGGAGGGACGUGGUAAGUAAGGUAGUAAUCUCUAUGUAGGGAAGAUAGUAGGAGGGACGUGGUAAGUAAGGUAGUAAUCUCUAUGUAGGGAAGAUAGUAGGAGGGACAUGGUAUGUAAGGUAGUAAUCUCUAUGUAGGGAAGAUAGUAGGAGGGACGUGGUAAGGUAGUAAUCUCUAUGUAGGGAAGAUAGUAGGAGGGACGUGGUAAGGUAGUAAUCUCUAUGUAGGGAAGAUAGUAGGAGGGACGUGGUAAGUAAGGUAGUAAUCUCUAUGUAGGGAAGAUAGUAGGAGGGACGUGGUAAGUAAGGUAGUAAUCUCUAUGUAGGGAAGAUGGUAGGAGGGACGUGGUAAGUAAGGUAGUAAUCUCUAUGUAGGGAAGAUAGUAGGAGGGACGUGGUAUGUAAGGUAGUAAUCUCUAUGUAGGGAAGAUAGUAGGUGGGACGUGGUAAGUAAGGUAGUAAUCUCUAUGUAGGGAAGAUAGUAGGAGGGACGUGGUAAGUAAGGUAGUAAUCUCUAUGUAGGGAAGAUAGUAGGAGGGACGUGGUAAGGUAGUAAUCUCUAUGUAGGGAAGAUAGUAGGAGGGACGUGGUAUGUAAGGUAGUAAUCUCUAUGUAGGGAAGAUAGUAGGAGGGACGUGGUAAGUAAGGUAGUAAUCUCUAUGUAGGGAAGAUAGUAGGAGGGACGUGGUAAGUAAGGUAGUAAUCUCUAUGUAGGGAAGAUAGUAGGAGGGACGUGGUAAGUAAGGUAGUAAUCUCUAUGUAGGGAAGAUGGUAGGAGGGACGUGGUAAGGUAGUAAUCUCUAUGUAGGGAAGAUAGUAGGAGGGAUGUGGUAAGUAAGGUAGUAAUCUCUAUGUAGGGAAGAUGGUAGGAGGGACGUGGUAAGGUAGUAAUCUCUAUGUAGGGAAGAUAGUAGGAGGGACGUGGUAAGUAAGGUAGUAAUCUCUAUGUAGGGAAGAUAGUAGGAGGGACGUGGUAAGUAAGGUAGUAAUCUCUAUGUAGGGAAGAUAGUAGGAGGGACGUGGUAAGUAAGGUAGUAAUCUCUAUGUAGGGAAGAUAGUAGAAGGGACGUGGUAAGUAAGGUAGUAAUCUCUAUGUAGGGAAGAUAGUAGGAGGGACGUGGUAAGUAAGGUAGUAAUCUCUAUGUAGGGAAGAUAGUAGGAGGGACGUGGUAAGUAAGGUAGUAAUCUCUAUGUAGGGAAGAUAGUAGGAGGGACGUGGUAAGUAAGGUAGUAAUCUCUAUGUAGGGAAGAUAGUAGGAGGGACGUGGUAAGUAAGGUAGUAAUCUCUAUGUAGGGAAGAUAGUAGGAGGGACGUGGUAAGUAAGGUAGUAAUCUCUAUGUAGGGAAGAUGGUAGGAGGGACGUGGUAAGUAAGGUAGUAAUCUCUAUGUAGGGAAGAUAGUAGGAGGGACGUGGUAAGGUAGUAAUCUCUAUGUAGGGAAGAUAGUAGGAGGGACGUGGUAAGGUAGUAAUCUCUAUGUAGGGAAGAUAGUAGGAGGGACGUGGUAAGGUAGUAAUCUCUAUGUAGGGAAGAUAGUAGGAGGGACGUGGUAAGUAAGAUAGUAAUCUCUAUGUAGGGAAGAUAGUAGGUGGGACGUGGUAAGUAAGGUAGUAAUCUCUAUGUAGGGAAGAUAGUAGGAGGGACAUGGUAAGGUAGUAAUCUCUAUGUAGGGAAGAUAGUAGGAGGGUAGUAAUCUCUAUGUAGGGAAGAUAGUAGGUGGGACGUGGUAAGUAAGGUAGUAAUCUCUAUGUAGGGAAGAUAGUAGGAGGGACGUGGUAAGUAAGGUAGUAAUCUCUAUGUAGGGAAGAUAGUAGGAGGGACGU